rnacentral:rRNA from 1 species
AUUGAACGCUGGUGGCAGGCUUAACACAUGCAAGUCGAACGGUAACAGGAAUUAGCUUGCUAAUUUGCUGACGAGUGGCGGACGGGUGAGUAAUGCUUGGGAAUCUGGCUUAUGGAGGGGGAUAACUACGGGAAACUGUAGCUAAUACCGCGUAAAAUCUUCGGAUUAAAGGGUGGGACUUUCGAGCCACCUGCCAUAAGAUGAGCCCGAGUGGGAUUAGGUAGUUGGUUAGGUAAAGGCUGACCAAGCCGACGAUCUCUAGCUGGUCUGAGAGGAUGACCAGCCACACUGGAACUGAGACACGGCCCAGACUCCUACGGGAGGCAGCAGUGGGGAAUAUUGCACAAUGGGGGGAACCCUGAUGCAGCCAUGCCGCGUGAAUGAAGAAGGCCUUCGGGUUGUAAAGUUCUUUCGGUGACGAGGAAGGUUGAUAGGUUAAUAGCCUAUCAAAUUGACGUUAAUCACAGAAGAAGCACCGGCUAACUCCGUG